GAAGCAAUAUCGUAAACAUUUCCAAACUUAAGAUCACAUUGAACAAAUCGUGACUGUCAGUCAACGUUUAGGUCGCACCGUAUCCUUUUGAAUACAGGUCUAUUAAAAAAUGGAGCAAUUCCUUAUAGCCGUUACUUGGAGAGUAUGAAAAAGAAGAAAAGAAACAAAAACAGUGGUCUGUAGCAAUAUCGAACAUGUUUACGUAGAAAGUGAAAAUAGUAGCAGGGAAACACCAUGUUGCUGAACUCAGCACCAUCGGGCAUAUUUUUCCUGAUCUGGAGCUUCCGAAAGAAUUAAGGAAUUUUUAUAAGCAAAUAAUAGUUUUAAGAAGUUCUAACUCUCUCGCUUGAUCACCUUUUUCCACCAAUAAAAUUUCCUUUAGCAUAAAA